rnacentral:rRNA from 1 species
UACAGAGGUGGCAAGCGUUGUUCGGAAUUACUGGGCGUAAAGGGCGCGUAGGUGGCUCUCUAAGUCAGACGUGAAAUCCCCGGGCUUAACUCGGGAACUGCGUCUGAUACUGGAAAGCUUGAGUUCGGGAGAGGAAUGUGGGAAUUCCAGGUGUAGCGGUGAAAUGCGUAGAUAUCUGGAGGAACACCGGUGGCGAAGGCGGCAUUCUGGACCGAAACUGACGCUGAGGCGCGAAAGCCAGGGGAGCAAACGGG